UACAGAGGUCCCAAGCGUUGUUCGGAUUCACUGGGCGUAAAGGGUGCGUAGGCGGUCGGGUAAGUCUGAUGUGAAAUCUCACAGCUUAACUGUGAAACUGCAUUGGAUACUAUCCGGCUAGAGGAAUGGAGGGGAGACUGGAAUACUUGGUGUAGCGGUGAAAUGCGCAGAUAUCAGGAGGAACACCGGUGGCGAAGGCGGGUCUCUGGGCAAUAACUGACGCUGAGGAGCGAAAGCGUGGGGAGCGAACAGG
rnacentral:rRNA from 1 species